UACAUCUGCACACAAAGUGAUGAUUUAUGCAAAGCUGGUUCUCAGGAGACUUAACCAUGGCUGCCCUGCAGGAGGGGCGGGGGGGGCCUGAGGAAGGAGAGAGGACACGGCCACAUUUCAUAUGGUCUACCCUUUUGUAUUGCUUAUUUAUUUUCUUUUUUUUAACCAUAGGCUGGUAUUACCUAUAAAAAACUAAUUCAUUACUCCAAAAACAACUAGAAACACCAUAAACUAGGCAAAAAUUGAAAUAGAAAAUCCCACAGCCAGUAAUCAGGGACUGGGCUUGAAAUAGGAUGUGCUUAACUCCAGUGGUCUACCGUUGUCUCCCACCCUCCAUUUGAUAUAGAAGAGCCUUAAUCCUCAACCGGCCCAGGAUCUAUCCCUCUCUCCACAAGCGCUCACAUUCUGGAAACCUCUAGCAUGUGGUGGAUGACAGAGGGUUCAAGUAAUCCCCCUGCUGUGUGGCUUCAUCCCUCAGAGCCUCAGUUUCCAGCAGUGGAAACUAUUGCACACUGGGUUUGUUGUAAGGCAUUCAAGAGAUAAGAAAAGCUCAGAACCUGAAACUUGGCACAGGCUCCAAACAAGGGAGCUUCUCAUCACUGGAGGCAAUCAAGCACAGUCAUUCUGGUUUAUUCAGACUUCCAGAGCAGAGGCUUGCCUUUUCCUUCACCCCUUCUUGCCUGCUCCAAGAUUUACCAAAUAGCUUCCUUAAACCAUAAAACUUAUGAUCCACCCCCAACCCACACAAACCUUCCAAAUUACAAAUCUUUGAAGCAACCCUGGAUAGGGAACCGUGUCUAGGGUCAGUGGGGCUUGUGUGGGGUUACUCUAUAGUUCCUCUGCCCCCAUGGGGCCUGUUUCCUGUAAGUGAACCAGAAGGUAAAUUCCCACCUGGGUUACUUUUUGCUUAUCUGCAUUAUCUGAAGUGUUUCUACAAUGAAAGCAUAUUACCUGUUUUUUUUUUUUCCAAAGACCAUUAUGGCUUUAUUUUACUUUUGCUCUAAUAGCAUAAUAAUCCAGAGAUGGCCCUGGGUUCAAUUUGGCUUGCCCACUUCCGAACUGACUUUUAACAGGCAACGUUCUUAAUUUCUCUGUCUCAGUUUUCCCAUGAGGGAAAUGGUCAAUAGUAUCAAUCUUUUAGAACUGCUUUGAGGAGUAAACUCAAUCAGGCACCUAGUACAGUGCCUGGCACAAACUAUGCACUUUGAUCAAAUGGGCUCUGUAAUUAAAAAAGAAAGAGAUAAUAAUUACUACUAUUGGGAAGAAUAAAGAAACCAAUCUAAAUUCUUCCUGAGACCCUUCUGCCCUGAGAUUCUCAGACCUCUGCCCCUCCUUCCUGGCCUUCCCAGAAUCCCAGCUCACAGUCCCAGACACAGCAGACACUCUACAAAUAUUUGUCAAACUGGGAGAAAAAGAACGGCAUCUUGUAAUUUUCCAUCUUAACAUCCUCUCUUCCUACUGCCCCAGAGACUGUCCCCAGCCAAACCAGCCAGAAAUCAGAGGAUGACAGUCCUCUCCUUCCGUCUACACCACCUAGGAAUUUCUGAGGGAUCCUGGGCCAGGCUUUUCUCUUAGACUCAGUUUCCCCAGCUGCCCACAUACAGGGGCAUGGGUCUUUAUUAAUCCUAGCAGUCCUGGGAGAAGGGCACAGCCCAGUGAGUGGGGGGUGCAGCCAGUGGCAGGGAAGACCUCUCGAGGUGGGAGCCCUCCGGUGGGACAGGCAUGAGUUCGACUUGCUGCCCACCCCCCAGGAGGUGGGAGGUUUGGACAUGGCCAGCGGUAGGGGGCCCUGCGGGAGGCCCAGAGCCCCCGGGACUGCGGGAGGGGGGGGCAGGAGGCUGGCCCAGACAUUGCUCCUGCCCUUUUACGGUCUCACAGUGAGUGAGGCAGCACUAACUCGGACAUCCGCCAUCCGCCUUCCACCGGGCCUGGGACCGGAAACGCGAGGGGGAGGCGGGGGCGGGGCUGGGGCCACGGGAGAGGAGAGCCCCGGGGGGCGGCGUGAAGGAAGAGGGCCUGGCUCCCGAAAAGUGUCCCCUCUUCAGGGCAUCCCCCUUUAAGAGAUAUUACCAUAAGGGGGAAAAGAUACGCAUAAGUCUUGAGGGUGUCUAUGGGUGCCCCCCUGCCCCCAGUUUUCCAACAGUCUCCUUCACAUCAGAAGGAAGAAAUGCAUGCGGGAGGGCGAUUCUGUACUCGUCAAAAAUGGAAUGCCACCCUGAGCUCCGGUCGGCUGAGGUGGGUGGUGGCGGGGGACACUAGGGAGAGAAGGGGGAGGCGCCGCGGUGGGGAGAGCAGCCGGCCCACAGCGCUCCUUGCCAGCCCCCCCCCGAGCAGCUGUCUCGACAGAUACUUGUCAGUGUCUGAGAUGACCUUAUUUAUCAGUUCUCUUGUUUGAUGUGUCCACCCACACACUAAGAGUCUAGAUGGCAGAUGGAAUUUCUCCUCUGAAGACUCUCUGGACUUUCUGUGUGAGGGAAGUAGGAGAAGGGGAAAUAAGCAUUCUGAGAAUCCUCCAUCCG